UUUAUGGAGAGUUUGAUCCUGGCUCAGGAUGAACGCUGGCGGCGUGCCUAAUACAUGCAAGUCGAGCGAACAGACGAGGAGCUUGCUCCUCUGACGUUAGCGGCGGACGGGUGAGUAACACGUGGAUAACCUACCUAUAAGACUGGGAUAACUUCGGGAAACCGGAGCUAAUACCGGAUAACAUGUUGAACCGCAUGGUUCAACAGUGAAAGACGGUCUUGCUGUCACUUAUAGAUGGAUCCGCGCCGCAUUAGCUAGUUGGUAAGGUAACGGCUUACCAAGGCAACGAUGCGUAGCCGACCUGAGAGGGUGAUCGGCCACACUGGAACUGAGACACGGUCCAGACUCCUACGGGAGGCAGCAGUAGGGAAUCUUCCGCAAUGGGCGAAAGCCUGACGGAGCAACGCCGCGUGAGUGAAGAAGGUCUUCGGAUCGUAAAACUCUGUUAUUAGGGAAGAACAAAUGUGUAAGUAACUAUGCACGUCUUGACGGUACCUAAUCAGAAAGCCACGGCUAACUACGUGCCAGCAGCCGCGGUAAUACGUAGGUGGCAAGCGUUAUCCGGAAUUAUUGGGCGUAAAGCGCGCGUAGGCGGUUUUUUAAGUCUGAUGUGAAAGCCCACGGCUCAACCGUGGAGGGUCAUUGGAAACUGGAAAACUUGAGUGCAGAAGAGGAAAGUGGAAUUCCAUGUGUAGCGGUGAAAUGCGCAGAGAUAUGGAGGAACACCAGUGGCGAAGGCGACUUUCUGGUCUGUAACUGACGCUGAUGUGCGAAAGCGUGGGGAUCAAACAGGAUUAGAUACCCUGGUAGUCCACGCCGUAAACGAUGAGUGCUAAGUGUUAGGGGG
rnacentral:rRNA from 1 species